UCGACACCAGCAAUUUAUACUACGCUAACUCAAAAAGCGUACUUUACAGUAGAGGCGUUUAAAGGUAAAAACGUGAUAACUUUUACAUUAAUUAAGAUACUUUUUUGAAAUUUGGUAUGCUUAAUAUUUAAUUUAUUCAUUGUAAUAUCUCAUAUUUAUAUUUCCUUAAUUAUUUCUAUUUUUUGAUUUAGCGCAAGUUAGCCGUAUAUAAACGUAAUUCAUCAAAAAAAUGUUACAUCUUAUACACGUCUAACUAAUGUUAGCGUAGUGUAGUACGGGAGGUCGUAGUGCAUGAUCAAUCAUCUGAUGCAUAUUUCAAUAUUUUUAUAAAGAACAUGUACUUACUUACAAAAAGAAUAGUCAACGUACCAUUAAUAAACUAAUUAAUACGUUAACACAUAAGUAUUUACUAUGUAAAAGUCGCUAAGUCGUUCAUUGUACAAACGAACAAGUAUACACACGAACGCACUAAACUACGCUAACUAUGAGUUAGCGCAGUGUUGCACAGAUUUUGACCAAAGUGAUCCCCGCGCACACUCCGCUAAUAAUAGUUGGCGUAAUAUAAAUCGAGUGAUUUCAAAAAGUACCUUUACUUAGCGUUUUAUAAGAUUUGUAACUUUCUUAUUUUUGCAUAUUUCUUCUCAAUUUUUUUAUGACGUAUGUAAACCCACAUUUUAAGCAACUUGGCAUAAAAAAAGUUUUUUCCAAAUUUCGAGUUAGCGUAGUAUAAAUUGCUGGUGUCGAUUUGAU